AAAAUGAUGCUAGCAACUUUGGUUUUAAAUUACUACAAAAUGUAACAACCAUUUUGUAGUUAUAAAACACACUAGAAAUAAAACAUCAAACACAUCAGAAAUCAAAAAUUACUACAACAAAAAACCCCAUCUGACUAAACCACUGACUUUGCUAUUCUGUUGUGUGCUCAUUUUCAAUUUUCACCAUAAAUCUAUUUUUGUUUCAUGGAUCUGGAAGAGGCAGUUUUUCUCAAAAAGAUGCUUUUGCCUUCUAAGUAUUGUUGGAAGUAUUUCGAGUUGGAAGGACUCACCGAAAUUGAAACCACUUCAAAGAAACAAAUUUGACUGAGGCCACUCCAGUAUUCUUGCCUGGAGAAUCCCAGGGACGGGGGAGCCUGGUGAGCUGCCGUCUAUGGGGUCGUACAGAGUCGGAUACGACUGAAGUGACUUUGCAGCAGCAGCUAAUAAAAAGAGGGAAUGUAAUCCACCCCCAGAGUUUAGUUUAGUAGUUUUGGGUAGGGAUCUGAGAGUUGACAUCACUAAUAAAUUCCGAAGUGAUGCUGCCAUGGCUGGUGUAGGGAACCUCGCAUCGAGAACCACUGCUGGUCGCUGUUUCUGAUUAUCCAUGAAUUCUCUGCAGGCCUGCAGCUAUUAGGAUCUUUUUUGUUGUUGUUGUCUGAAAAAAAUAUUUUGCCUUAAUUUUCAAAGGGUUGUUUUUGCUCUGUUUUUUUAAAAGAUAUGUUGACAUUUUCCCCCAGCACUGUAAAGCAUCUUUCUAUUAUGUUUUGGCUGUGUGACUUCUCUUUUUUCCCUCCAGCUUUACUGAGAUAUAAUUGACACACAAGGUUGUCCAGUUUAAAGGGUACACUGUGUUGAUUGCACCUAGUAUGAUGGGAAACCUGGAAAUAAGGAUAAUUUCCCUACCUUUCUGAUUUCUAGACCUUUCUUUUUGUCUCUUGUUGUCAGAAAAUUCUUUCUGAAUUUUAUCAAUAAUGAUGCAUCCUUCUCAUUCUUGACUUGAAAUGACCUCAGGUGACCUCAGCCUGCAGCAGCUUGAAGCAGGAUUUCGGUACCCAGCCAGCGAUGGAGGGCAGGUUGUGGCAGUGAGAGAGUGGAAUCCUAGCCCCCAGACUGGUGGUCAGGGAUAGGGUAGUGCCAACUCCUGCCCAAGCCUCCGGCCUGUCCUGGAGACGUCAGUCUCGCCAGCCCCAACAAUGAGGCUCCUCACGGUUCACCCCAGGGCCUGGCAGGACGGAACAGUGGAUGCACACAGGGACCGAGGACUCAGGGCUGGGCCUGCGCUCCCCACUGGCCCCCCAGGAACAGCCAGUGUUUCAGGCACAGCUUUCACAGAAAGAUGGUGGGGCUGCCGGAAGCCUGGGGAGGACGCUGGGGAGCAAGCCUGGGGCUCCGCCCAGGGCGGGUGUGCUUGGGACCCGGAGGGCCGCAGUGGUCCCUACGUGUGGCCUUCUCAGCAGGAACUGCCGGCCCGCCCACUCUGGUCUCCAGGUAAGCAGGGUCCCUGUCACACAGGCCCCGUUACAGCCCCUGGCGGGCUUACACACUCCUAGACCCAGGCAGCAUGUCAGAGGCUGAGCCAGCACGGACGUGGUCCAUCCAGCUGCCCCGGGGCCUCACCACACCCACCUGGGGCCUCCUGUCCCGGGAUGGAAGGGGGGUGGCCAGGGUGUUGCGACCCCUCUGCACUCCCCUGACUCCCAGCAGGGGCUCCAGCCCCUGAGUCUCGCGCCUUCUCCACACCGGCACUGCAUCCCCCCUCCCGCCCAGUGCUCAUAUUCAGGCACAAGCCCAGUGCCCUGGGGACAGAAUGGCCCCUCGAGGGGACUCCACGCCCUGGGCAGGCAGUGAGGACGGCCCCCGGUGAGCCCUCC